AGUGAAUAGAUACCCGGGUAGUCCACGCCGUAAACUAUGGACGCUAGCUGUUAGAAGUAUCGACCCUUCUAGUAGCGAAAGCUAAACGCGUUAAGCGUCCCGCCUGCGGAGUACGAGCGCAAGCUUAAAACAUAAAGGAAUUGACGGGGACCCGCACAAGCGGUGGAGCGUGUUGUUUAAAUUCGAUGCUAAGCGAAGAACCUUACCCAGGUUUGACAUCCUACUAAUUUCUCCGAAAGGAGAGAGUGCCUUCGGGCCGUAGUGACAGGUGUUGCAUGGCCGUCGUCAGCUCGUGUCGUGAGAUGUUUGGUUAAGUCCAUCAA
rnacentral:rRNA from 1 species